UUAAGUUAGUUGCCAUCAUUAAGUUGGGCACUCUAAGUUGACUGCCGGUGACAAACCGGAGGAAGGUGGGGAUGACGUCAAAUCAUCAUGCCCCUUAUGAUUUGGGCUACACACGUGCUACAAUGGACAAUACAAAGGGUAGCGAAACCGCGAGGUCAAGCAAAUCCCAUAAAGUUGUUCUCAGUUCGGAUUGUAGUCUGCAACUCGACUAUAUGAAGCUGGAAUCGCUAGUAAUCGUAGAUCAGCAUGCUACGGUGAAUACGUUCCCGGGUCUUGUACACACCGCCCGUCACACCACGAGAGUUUGUAACACCCGAAGCCGGUGGAGUAACCAUUUGGAGCUAGCCGUCGAAGGUGGGACAAAUGAUUGGGGUGAAGUCGUAACAAGGUAGCCGUAUCGGAAGGUGCGGCUGGAUCACCUCCUUU
rnacentral:rRNA from 1 species